UACGUAGGGUGCAAGCGUUGUCCGGAAUUAUUGGGCGUAAAGAGCUCGUAGGCGGUUUGUCGCGUCGAAUGUGAAAUCCCGGGGCUCAACCCCGGGUCUGCAUUCGAUACGGGCGGGCUGGAGUUCGGUAGGGGAGACUGGAAUUCCUGGUGUAGCGGUGAAAUGCGCAGAUAUCAGGAGGAACACCGGUGGCGAAGGCGGGUCUCUGGGCCGAUACUGACGCUGAGGAGCGAAAGCGUGGGGAGCAAACAGG
rnacentral:rRNA from 1 species